rnacentral:rRNA from 1 species
CGUGAGUAACCUGCCUUGGAGUGGGGAAUAACACAUCGAAAGAUGUGCUAAUACCGCAUAAUGCAGUUGGGCCGCAUGGCUCUGACUGCCAAAGAUUUAUCGCUCUGAGAUGGACUCGCGUCUGAUUAGCUGGUUGGCGGGGUAACGGCCCACCAAGGCGACGAUCGGUAGCCGGCCUGAGAGGGUGGACGGCCACAUUGGGACUGAGACACGGCCCAAACUCCUACGGGAGGCAGCAG